GACGAACCGUGCGAACGUUGUUCGGAAUCACUGGGCGUAAAGAGCUCGUAGGCGGUUUGUCGCGUCUGCCGUGAAAGUCCGGGGCUCAACUCCGGAUCUGCGGUGGGUACGGGCAGACUAGAGUGAUGUAGGGGAGACUGGAAUUCCUGGUGUAGCGGUGAAAUGCGCAGAUAUCAGGAGGAACACCGAUGGCGAAGGCAGGUCUCUGGGCAUUAACUGACGCUGAGGAGCGAAAGCAUGGGGAGCGAACAGG
rnacentral:rRNA from 1 species